GACAGAGGGGGCAAGCGUUGCUCGGAAUCACUGGGCGUAAAGGGCGCGUAGGCGGGAGGCCAAGUCGGUCGUGAAAUCGCCGGGCUCAACCCGGCGGGGUCGGCCGAAACUGGUUUUCUUGAGGGAGGCAGAGGAGUCUGGAAUUCCCGGUGUAGCGGUGAAAUGUGUAGAGAUCGGGAGGAACACCGGUGGCGAAGGCGGGACUCUGGGCCUACCCUGACGCUGAGGCGCGAAGGCGUGGGGAGCAAACGGG
rnacentral:rRNA from 1 species